UAAAAACUUAGGUUUAACCAAACCAAGAGCCUUCAAAGCUCAAAAUAAGGGUCAAACACCCUUAGUUUUU
rnacentral:tRNA from 1 species